UUUGUCUACUUCCUGAAGAGGAGCAUGCUAGCCUUGACACCUCAGUCCUUUCUUCCAUUAACAGCUGUGUUAUGGAGCGCAUCCUCACAUCAUGGUCUACUGCAGCAGGUGGAUACAGAAGACAAUUGGUCCAAACCAUCUUGAGGCCUUUUGGACAGAGGAGAGGAUGACCGAGCUGGUUAACCUCUACAUAAAUAGACACAUGUCAAGUGGGUUUAUCAAGGCCCAAAUAUGCUGAGGAAUACAGGCUGCCUGGGUGGCCUAAGGAGUUGCCUUUCACUUCAGUCAGUGACGGAAAAGGUCAAGGACGUAAGGCUUUUACAGCUGAAAAGCUGAUACAGCUUGUGCAGUCCUACAAUGCACAUGUCAAUGAUCAGCUGUUUGUUGAGGCAGCAGCAGCAGGAGCAGCACCAACAACAGAAGCAGCAGCAGCAGCAGCAGGAGCAGCACCACCAGCACUAUAAACGCCAUCAGCAGCAGCGGCAGAUUAUAAAGAAGGAUAACAAUGAAUACAUGAAAUCAGAGUGGGAAGUUGUGCUUUUAUGUUUCAUAUACUGUAUAUAUAUGCACCUUACUUGAGUGUCUCUACAAUUUAAUUAUACUGCAAUGCAAUUAAAAUAAAGGCAUUCAUUUAAUUAAUUUGUCAUUUCAGUUUGUAUUAUUACAUUCAUU